ACAGUCUCAGUUCGGAUUGAAGGCUGAAAUUCGCCUUCAUGAAGCCGGAAUUGCUAGUAAUGGCAGGUCAGCAUACUGCCGUGAAUACGUUCCCGGGCCUUGUACACACCGCCCGUCACACCAUGAGAGUUGGGGAUACCCGAAGCCUGUGAGCUAACUUUUAGAGGCAGCAGUCGAAGGUAGAAUCAAUGAUUGGGGUGAAGUCGUAACAAGGUAGC
rnacentral:rRNA from 1 species